UUUAUUUCAAGACUAACUUUCUGAACUAGCUCGGGUGGUCAAUACACCACUGCAAACCACUAAACUUCGAUUUUCUGCAAUUCCGUUAGCUGUAAAGUUGGAUAUUGAUUCAUCCACCAUGUCGUACAGGUUAUUUGAGGGGGUUAAGCAGGUCGAUGACUACAUCAAAUUUAGGCCUACCUAUCCAGCAGAAUUAUUUCACAAGAUUAUGUCCUUCUUGAGUGAAAAGAGACCACCUCCUCACCAGCUGCUCGUAGACGUUGGUUGUGGAUCUGGCCAGGGGACCUAUGGCUUGAGCUCACAAUUUGAACAGGCAAUUGGGUUUGACAUAAGCAAGGCACAGGUGGAGGCAGCAACAAAGGCAAAUACUGCCCCCAAUGUUGAAUUCAAAGUUUCACCAGCCGAAACUCUACCCCUUGAAGACCGCUCUGUGGACCUCAUCACAUGUUCCCAGGCAGUUCAUUGGCUGAAUUUCCAGGCCUUCUGUAAUGAAUGUAGACGAGUCUUGAAGCCAAAUGGAUGCCUAGCCAUUGUCGGCUAUGCAAACAUUUCCUUGGACCACAAAAAUGAUGAUAUCAGGAAUAAACUGGAAGAAUACUUUGAUGAGAUUUACAACAAAGAGCUUGGUCCCUUCUGGAAUGAGAAGAGAAAACUUGUUGAAAAUAAACUACCAGGUUAUGAGAUACCUUUUCCAGACUUUGUGAGGGAUGACACAUUGGAGAUGAGAAUGCAGUGGUCAGUGUCUCAUCUCAUUGGUUAUAUCAGAAGCUGGUCAGCCUAUGCAAAGUACCUGGAAGUUAACCCAUCUGGUCAAAUUCUUGAGGAGUACCAUAAGAAGGUCAUGUCAGCUGUAGCAAGUCCUGGCUCAUCCUCGGACGAUACCAUUCUUGAUGUAUCCUAUCCACUCACCUUGCUCCUAGGGCGAGCUUCAUGAAAGUUUCAAAAUAAGUUCGUGAAAUUUUCACAAAUCGCUAAUAUGUAUGGAUAAGAUGUGAUAAUGUCUAUAUUAGAUUGCAAUAUAUUUGUCAAAUGUUUAUAUGGAAUUUUAUUUUAACUAUUCUGUAUAAACGUUAUGAUUUUUUUUGUAAAUAUGUUCAUGUUUACUCAGGGCCCCAUGAA